UACGUAGGGUGCGAGCGUUGUCCGGAAUUACUGGGCGUAAAGAGCUCGUAGGUGGUUUGUCGCGUUGUCCGUGAAAACUCACAACUCAAUUGUGGGCGUGCGGGCGAUACGGGCAGACUGGAGUACUGCAGGGGAGACUGGAAUUCCUGGUGUAGCGGUGGAAUGCGCAGAUAUCGGGAGGAACACCUGAGGCGAAGGCGGGCUACUGGGCCGAUACUGACGCUGAUGCGCGAAAGCCAGGGGAGCAAACGGG
rnacentral:rRNA from 1 species